rnacentral:lncRNA from 1 species
UUUGUAUAUAUGUACUUUGAGAUAUAUUUAUACAUGGCUACUUGCAUGGAACCACUUCAUAUUGUUCGGAACAUUGUUUGUAAAUAAAGAUGAAUAGAUGUGAACUAUUGGAGAAUAAAUCAGUUAUGACUCUCACUCUAAUUGGUACUUGGUAGUUAGGUAUUGCAGAAAAUUCUAUAUAGCUGUGAUACCAUGUAAAAAAUCUAACUAAGACC